rnacentral:rRNA from 1 species
GGGUCAGUAGGUUGGUCGUGCCACCGGUACGUACUGGUCUCACUGAUUCCUCCUUCCUGAAGAACCGUAAUGCCAUUAAUUUGGUGUUGCGGGGAAACAGGACUGUUACUUUGAAAAAAUUAGAGUGUUUAAAGCAAGCUAACGCUUGAAUACAUUAGCAUGGAAUAAUGAAAUAGGACGAUCGAUCCUAUUUUGUUGGUUACUAGGAUUGACGUA